rnacentral:rRNA from 1 species
GACGAACGCUGGCGGCGUGCUUAACACAUGCAAGUCGAACGGAAAGGCCCUGCUUUUGUGGGGUGCUCGAGUGGCGAACGGGUGAGUAACACGUGAGUAACCUGCCCUUGACUUUGGGAUAACUUCAGGAAACUAGGGCUAAUACCGGAUAGGAGCUCCUGCUGCAUGGUGGGGGUUGGAAAGUUUCGGCGGUUGGGGAUGGACUCGCGGCUUAUCAGCUUGUUGGUGGGGUAGUGGCUUACCAAGGCUUUGACGGGUAGCCGGCCUGAGAGGGUGACCGGCCACAUUGGGACUGAGAUACGGCCCAGACUCCUACGGGAGGCAGCAGUGGGGAAUAUUGCACAAUGGGCGGAAGCCUGAUGCAGCAACGCCGCGUGCGGGAUGACGGCCUUCGGGUUGUAACCCGCUUUCGCCUGUGACGAAGCGUGAGUGACGGUAAUGGGUAAAGAAGCACCGGCUAACUACGUG